rnacentral:rRNA from 1 species
GAGUUUGAUCCUGGCUCAGGAUAAACGCUGGCGGCGCACAUAAGACAUGCAAGUCGAACGGAGAUAUUUUGUUUGAAGUUUUCGGAUGGACGACGGGAUAUCUUAGUGGCGAACGGGUGAGUAACACGUGAGUAACCUGCCUUUCAGAGGGGGACAACAUUUGGAAACGAAUGCUAAUACCGCAUAAGACCACGGUACCGCAUGGUAGAGAGGUCAAAGGAGAAAUCCGCUGAAAGAUGGGCUCGCGUCCGAUUAGGUAGUUGGUGAGGUAACGGCCCACCAAGCCGACGAUCGGUAGCCGGACUGAGAGGUUGAACGGCCACAUUGGGACUGAGACACGGCCCAGACUCCUACGGGAGGCAGCAGUGGGGGAUAUUGCACAAUGGGGGAAACCCUGAUGCAGCGACGCCGCGUGGAGGAAGAAGGUCUUCGGAUUGUAAACUCCUGUCCGAGGGGACGAUAAUGACGGUACCCUUGGAGGAAGCACCGGCUAACUACGUGCCAGCAGCCGCGGUAAAACGUAGGGUGCAAGCGUUGUCCGGAAUUACUGGGUGUAAAGGGAGCGCAGGCGGACUGUCAAGUUGGGAGUGAAAACUACGGGCUCAACCCGUAACUUGCUUUCAAAACUGGCGGUCUUGAGUGGUGU